CCUCUAUGGGGGUUCAGCCCUGAUAUCGGAGGGGGGGCUCUCUCAUCCCUCUAUGGGGGUUCAGUCCUGAUAUUAGGGUCACUCUCGUCCCUCUAUGGGGGUCACACUUUCCAAGGAUUUUUCUUUUCCAUUAGAAGCAGAAAACUGAAGGGCCAGAAAUUCUUUUGGAAACCAUAAAAUGUCCUGUGAAUCUGUUGCUCACGAACUGCUGCCGGCUGCCCAUAGACUUUCAGGCUGCUGACUGCCACACCCCAAUCAUCCAGACACUCAGAGGGCAGCGGGGUGAACUCCACCCUAAUCCACCCGCAGGUUCCUGCUCUCCGUUCAGCGCUCAGUAUUGUAUUCAGUCUGUGUGUUAUCUCCUAUAGGUUCUGACUCCAGGAGGAGAAGUCCCCCCGAGAGAUGUCCCCGUCCUCUGUAUUCCCAGGACUGUCCAGAGGAGAAGCUCCCAGAGAACCAUCAGGAUGAAAAUCUGAUGGAUAUUAAGGCUGAGGUUAAAGAUGAAGCAGAAGAGGAGACGGAUUUAUGGGGCGAUCAGCAGGAUGGACUCCUAGAAAGAAAUCCCCCCGAGAGAUGUCCCCGUCC